GAGAGAGGGAGGACCGGGGUAGGAGUUGUGUAAAAGGGGCUGAAGUCCUGCGCUGCCUUCUCCUCCGCCGCUGCGAUAGAAAGGCUCCAGACGGCGUCAAAGCUCGGCACACCGUGGACGUAAAACCAAGCCCACGAAGAACGACACACCCCGGUUGGAAGCUCCAGGACUCGGGGAGCGGUGGGCGAGGCAGCCUGAAGUCCGCCGGACCGUGCAGCUGCGUCGGAGGCUUGAGGCAGGAGCGACCCGGCCGGUGGUGAAGAAACGUGUGCACCCAAAGCAGAAGAAGGAAGGAGAAGGAGUCGCUUUUCGUGCAUCGCUCCGAACUCUCGCGCUCGCUGGCCGACUCCCACGGCUCCCUCACCCCUCGGCCCCAAAUGGCUGACACACAGCCGUUCUUCACUGGCAAGCUUUAUGUUCCUGUACACAUGCUAAAGCUGCCAGCUGAAGAACUGCUCUGGUCAGCCCUGCCCCGGAUGACUCAAGAAAAGGAAGCGGAUGGGGGGUGGUGGGAACUGGACUGAGGAAGAUGGCGUUUCACACUCACAGCAGUCAGACUGGACUUGCCAGAUUUGAGCCAGUGGUUUACUUCACUAUUUUACUUCACACGUGUUUCUUUCCCUUCCUAUUUGUUUAAACUGUCUCUAUGAUGUUGUUGUUGUUUUAGCUUCCAAUAAAGAACAAAAUGUUCCCUCA